rnacentral:rRNA from 1 species
AACGGAUAUCUCGGCUCUCGCAUCGAUGAAGAACGUAGCGAAAUGCGAUACUUGGUGUGAAUUGCAGAAUCCCGUGAACCAUCGAGUCUUUGAACGCAAGUUGCGCCCUAAGCCAUUAGGCCGAGGGCACGUCUGCCUGGGCGUCACACA